UACGGAGGGUGCAAGCGUUGUCCGGAUUUAUUGGGUUUAAAGGGUGCGUAGGCGGCUUAUUAAGUCAGGGGUGAAAGACUGCAGCUCAACUGUAGCAGUGCCUUUGAUACUGAUGAGCUUGAGUACAGAUGAGGCCGGCGGAAUGGGUGGUGUAGCGGUGAAAUGCAUAGAUACCAUCCAGAACACCGAUUGCGAAGGCAGCCGGCUAAACUGUAACUGACGCUGAGGCACGAAAGCGUGGGGAUCGAACAGG
rnacentral:rRNA from 2 species